rnacentral:misc_RNA from 1 species
UCCGGUUUGUCACCGGCAGUCUCAUUAGAGUGCCCAACUAAAUGUAGCAACUAAUGACAAGGGUUGCGCUCGUUGCGGGACUUAACCCAACAUCUCACGACACGAGCUGACGACAGCCAUGCAGCACCUGUGUUCCGACCUAUUGCUAGGAGGAAUCCAUCUCUGGAAACCGUCCGGACAUGUCAAGGGCUGGUAAGGUUCUUCGCGUUGCGUCGAAUUAAACCACAUGCUCCACCGCUUGUGCGGGCCCCCGUCAAUUCCUUUGAGUUUCAACCUUGCGGUCGUACUCCCCAGGCGGGGUACUUCCUGCGUUAGCGCCGGCACCCAGAGGGUCGCUCCCCCAGGCACCUAGUACCCAUCGUUUACGGCGUGGACUAC